AGAUCUCGACAGCUCCAGCUUUGCCUGCACCAGAAACAAGUACACCAUAUCUGCUAGAAUUUUCAGUUAAUCUGCAUGUUGCAGGAUUUUCAUCUUCAAACGAUGGCAAGAGCUAACCAGCAUGCAUAAACAUCUUCAAUAGUUUCGUAAGUCUCUAAUCAGGUAAUUGUUAAAUCCAACCCUUUUAUGUCGAUCAGUGUUUGAGUUUUGGGUUUUAAAGAACCUUGUGUCGACAUGGGCUACUAUAGCAAUGUCUUUGAUGAAUGGGACGACCAAACUGAUAAUGGUCUAGUUCUACGUGUUGGAAGGGAAGUCAUUCUCCAAACUUAUAAUUGGGAAUCUCACAAACAUGAUUGGUGGAGAAACCUGGGCGGGAAAGUUCCCGACAUCGCAAAAUCUUUUUACUUCUGCAUGGUUGCCGCCACCAGCUCAGUCUCUUGCAGCAGAAGUUAUCAAUCAUCGUAUUGGGAUAACGAGAGACGACAGUGGAAUGUAUAACCGUUAUGAUGGAAUUUUCCUACCGUGGGAUGAACACGCAGUGACUUCUUGUACCGGAGGAUUGCAUUUUGUUAGGAAAAGAUAUAAUCGGGUGGCUGCGCAACACUGUCGAGUUCAAGAUUUCCGUUUUGACUUUGCUAGGGGGUGGUGGGCGUUGAUUGAUUUAUUUCACUCUCUCGUUGAUUCAGAAGUCAGAAGACAAUCUUCGCCAACGUGCUUUAAAGGUCAAGCAGAUCAUCAUCAUUCAAGGUAGAGACCAGUCGAUGGACUUUAAGAAAAGCAUCAAACUGCUAGAAAGAUAGCUAGUCUUCUGAGAAAUCCAUACUGCACUCGGGCCAAAAAAUCAAAAACCAGUCACAGUUGUCUGAAGCCAAAUGCAGUCAUCAGCAAAAUGUGAAAGGGGAAACGAGUGUUAAAAACUAAGCUAGCACUACCAAACUGAUGGGAAAUUCAAGACAGAGGUGAGCCUGGUAACCAAAUAGUUAGGUUGAAGAUUUCAGAGGUAAGCAAUAUUAUUGACAGUCUGUAUUACUAGCUGAACAAAUUUAGCACGCAUGGGAAAAGAUGUGGCUUUCCUGAAAUAGUAGAUAGUUGAAAAGAGAUAGUAAGGUGAAGCAGACAGAUCAAAGAGUAUAUCAUAUUUACACACUGAUGAUUUGUUCA